CAGCUCCAAUAGCGUAUAUUAAACUUGUUGCAGUUAAAAAGCUCGUAGUUGAAUUUUAGCGUGUUCGAGUUUGCCAUUCGUUUGGCUUUUUCGAGUUCGCUUUUGGGUUUUCCCUUUUUACUUUGAGAAAAUUAGAGUGUUUCAAGCAGACUUUUGUCUUGAAUACUUCAGCAUGGAAUAAUAGAGUAGGACUUUGGUUCUAUUUUGUUGGUUAUUGAACCUUAGUAAUGGUUAAUAGGAACGGUUGGGGGCAUUCGUAUUUAACUGUCAGAGGUGAAAUUCUU
rnacentral:rRNA from 1 species